rnacentral:rRNA from 1 species
AGUGAACGCUGGCGGUAGGCCUAACACAUGCAAGUCGAACGGCAGCACAGGAGAGCUUGCUCUCUGGGUGGCGAGUGGCGGACGGGUGAGGAAUACAUCGGAAUCUACUUUUUCGUGGGGGAUAACGUAGGGAAACUUACGCUAAUACCGCAUACGACCUACGGGUGAAAGCAGGGGAUCUUCGGACCUUGCGCGAUUGGAUGAGCCGAUGUCGGAUUAGCUAGUUGGCGGGGUAAAGGCCCACCAAGGCGACGAUCCGUAGCUGGUCUGAGAGAAUGAUCAGCCACACUGGAACUGAGACACGGUCCAGACUCCUACGCGAGGCAGCAGUGGGGAAUAUUGGACAAUGGGCGCAAGCCUGAUCCAGCCAUACCGCGUAGGUGAAGAAGGCCUUCGGGUUGUAAAGCCCUUUUGUUGGGAAAGAAAUCCAGCUGGUUAAUACCCGGUUGGGAUGACGGUACCCAAAGAAUAAGCACCGGCUAACUUCGUGCCAGCAGCCGCGGUAA